ACGCUGGCGGCAGGCCUAACACAUGCAAGUCGAGCGGCAGCACAGGUACUUGUACCGGGUGGCGAGCGGCGGACGGGUGAGUAAUGCCUAGGAAUCUGCCUGGUAGUGGGGGAUAACGUCCGGAAACGGACGCUAAUACCGCAUACGUCCUACGGGAGAAAGCAGGGGACCUUCGGGCCUUGCGCUAUCAGAUGAGCCUAGGUCGGAUUAGCUAGUUGGUGGGGUAAUGGCUCACCAAGGCGACGAUCCGUAACUGGUCUGAGAGGAUGAUCAGUCACACUGGAACUGAGACACGGUCCAGACUCCUACGGGAGGCAGCAGUGGGGAAUAUUGGACAAUGGGCGAAAGCCUGAUCCAGCCAUGCCGCGUGUGUGAAGAAGGUCUUCGGAUUGUAAAGCACUUUAAGUUGGGAGGAAGGGCAGUAAAUUAAUACUUUGCUGUUUUGACGUUACCGACAGAAUAAGCACCGGCUAACUCUGUGCCAGCAGCCGCGGUAAUACAGAGGGUGCAAGCGUUAAUCGGAAUUACUGGGCGUAAAGCGCGCGUAGGUGGUUCGUUAAGUUGGAUGUGAAAUCCCCGGGCUCAACCUGGGAACUGCAUUCAAAACUGACAAGCUAGAGUAUGGUAGAGGGUGGUGGAAUUACCUGUGUAGCGGUGAAAUGCGUAGAUAUAGGAAGGAACACCAGUGGCGAAGGCGACCACCUGGACUGAUACUGACACUGAGGUGCGAAAGCGUGGGGAGCAAAC
rnacentral:rRNA from 1 species